UAAUAUUUCUCUGGCACUUAAGAAGUCUGACUGACUCACUGGACACGUUGUUGGUGUCUUUAUUUUUUAUUUUUACAAUGAUGUGAUGAGAGCACUUUAGAGUUUAUGAAUAUGUCAACAUUGUAAAUCCAAACAGGAAUCAUUGAUAGUUGAAAAGGCAAUUAUAUAAAACUGUUGUGGAGGAGGGUUCCAGUGCCAGGUUUAUUGGUCUUUGAGCCCACAGAGGUGUUUGAAGGAGCCGGUGCUACCGCAGAAAGGACUACACUGGCACAGGAGACACGAAUGGACUCGGUCAGUGGUUUAGAAUCGAACGGAGCAGCUUUUACAUAGGAGCAAUUGUCUGCUGAGGUGUGGAGGCGGGACAGUGGUACCAAGGGAACAAAGAUGAACCUCCACAGGGUUUUCACACAAACCCUGCAGCCUGCGCGCUGGACAUUUCAUACCGCAGCUACAUUUUUUCUUUUUGAUUUACGUCCGCUGCUGCCGUUCGGAGCUGAACGGACAUAAAGUCACGUUUUGCUGCCUGUUUCUGAACGAACGCAGACAGGAGACGGUGUCUGGAUGAGCUGAGAGCGCGAGAGGCACGUUUCCCGUCUGUUCCGAGACAACAGGAGACAUCUGGGAGGCAAGCAGGCCAAAACCUGCCAGCACCGAGGAGUCCCUUUUAAAUAGAAUAAUAAUAAUAAUUAAGAAAAAAAAA